rnacentral:rRNA from 1 species
GGGGAGGGGGGGGGUGCUAUACAUGCAGUCGUACGCUUCUUUUUCCACCGGAGCUUGCUCCACCGGAAAAAGAAGAGUGGCGAACGGGUGAGUAACACGUGGGUAACCUGCCCAUCAGAAGGGGAUAACACUUGGAAACAGGUGCUAAUACCGUAUAACAAUCGAAACCGCAUGGUUUUGAUUUGAAAGGCGCUUUCGGGUGUCGCUGAUGGAUGGACCCGCGGUGCAUUAGCUAGUUGGUGAGGUAACGGCUCACCAAGGCCACGAUGCAUAGCCGACCUGAGAGGGUGAUCGGCCACAUUGGGACUGAGACACGGCCCAAACUCCUACGGGAGGCAGCAGUAGGGAAUCUUCGGCAAUGGACGAAAGUCUGACCGAGCAACGCCGCGUGAGUGAAGAAGGUUUUCGGAUCGUAAAACUCUGUUGUUAGAGAAGAACAAGGAUGAGAGUAACUGUUCAUCCCUUGACGGUAUCUAACCAGAAAGCCACGGCUAACUACGUGCCAGCAGCCGCGGUAAUACGUAGGUGGCAAGCGUUGUCCGGAUUUAUUGGGCGUAAAGCGAGCGCAGGCGGUUUCUUAAGUCUGAUGUGAAAGCCCCCGGCUCAACCGGGGAGGGUCAUUGGAAACUGGGAGACUUGAGUGCAGAAGAGGAGAGUGGAAUUCCAUGUGUAGCGGUGAAAUGCGUAGAUAUAUGGAGGAACACCAGUGGCGAAGGCGGCUCUCUGGUCUGUAACUGACGCUGAGGCUCGAAAGCGUGGGGAGCAAACAGGAUUAGAUACCCUGGUAGUCCACGCCGUAAACGAUGAGUGCUAAGUGUUGGAGGGUUUCCGCCCUUCAGUGCUGCAGCUAACGCAUUAAGCACUCCGCCUGGGGAGUACGACCGCAAGGUUGAAACUCAAAGGAAUUGACGGGGGCCCGCACAAGCGGUGGAGCAUGUGGUUUAAUUCGAAGCAACGCGAAGAACCUUACCAGGUCUUGACAUCCUUUGACCACUCUAGAGAUAGAGCUUCCCCUUCGGGGGCAAAA